rnacentral:rRNA from 2 species
UCUGGUAUUGAUUGGUGCUUGCAUCAUGAUUUACAUUUGAGUGAGUGGCGAACUGGUGAGUAACACGUGGGAAACCUGCCCAGAAGCGGGGGAUAACACCUGGAAACAGAUGCUAAUACCGCAUAACAACUUGGACCGCAUGGUCCGAGUUUGAAAGAUGGCUUCGGCUAUCACUUUUGGAUGGUCCCGCGGCGUAUUAGCUAGAUGGUGGGGUAACGGCUCACCAUGGCAAUGAUACGUAGCCGACCUGAGAGGGUAAUCGGCCACAUUGGGACUGAGACACGGCCCAAACUCCUACGGGAGGCAGCAGUAGGGAAUCUUCCACAAUGGACGAAAGUCUGAUGGAGCAACGCCGCGUGAGUGAAGAAGGGUUUCGGCUCGUAAAACUCUGUUGUUAAAGAAGAACAUAUCUGAGAGUAACUGUUCAGGUAUUGACGGUAUUUAACCAGAAAGCCACGGCUAACUACGUGCCAGCAGCCGCGGUAAUACGUAGGUGGCAAGCGUUGUCCGGAUUUAUUGGGCGUAAAGCGAGCGCAGGCGGUUUUUUAAGUCUGAUGUGAAAGCCUUCGGCUCAACCGAAGAAGUGCAUCGGAAACUGGGAAACUUGAGUGCAGAAGAGGACAGU